rnacentral:tRNA from 11 species
GUUGGGAUAGCUCAGUUGGUAGAGCAGAGGACUGAAAAUCCUC